AGACCUUACCCCUAGGAGGCAUCGUUCCAGGUAACAAAUUUAUGGCACAAUCAUAAUCCCGGUGUGGGGGUAGUUUAUCAGCUUCCCUCUUUUCAAAGACCAAUGCGAGGUCUACAUACACAGGAGGGACAGAAACAGAAAGUGGUUUAGCUGUAGGCACAUUAAUUAAACAAACGGAAUGUAAACGGGCCAUAGUAUAUCUAGAGAAUCCCAAUCGAGUACUGGGUUAUGCUUCACUAACC